UACGGAGGGGACUAGCGUUGUUCGGAAUUACUGGGCGUAAAGCGCACGUAGGCGGAUUUGUAAGUCAGGGGUGAAAUCCCGGGGCUCAACCUCGGAACUGCCUUUGAUACUGCAAAUCUCGAGUCCGGAAGAGGUGAGUGGAAUUCCUAGUGUAGAGGUGAAAUUCGUAGAUAUUAGGAAGAACACCAGUGGCGAAGGCGGCUCACUGGUCCGGUACUGACGCUGAGGUGCGAAAAGCGUGGGGAGCAAACAGGG
rnacentral:rRNA from 1 species